rnacentral:rRNA from 1 species
GUCAGCGAUUGGGGUGAAGUCGUAACAAGGUAGCCGUAGGAGAACCUGCGGCUGGAUCACCUCCUUUCUAAGGAAUA